CCCACUCCCCACCCCACCCGCUGUCCCCGCAACCCCGGCCUCGCCCAGUGAGGCGUAAAGGGAGGGGCCGAAGCCGGGGUCUACCGCCUGGUCAGCGUGGGCCCCAGCGCGAGGACUAAGCUGGGCUGACGCUCCGGCCUGGCUGGGAGGACCGGAGCUGAGCCGGGUCACUGGACAUCCGGGGCUACAGCGAGGGAACGGAGGCACGGCUUCUGAGCCAACUGCGGCUUAAGCUGCUAAACUAAAUCUCCUGGGUUCUUUUCUCCCAGAGCCCACCAACCAGUAGAUGCCUUCCUAAGUUCACUUGAUGACCUGGAAAGUGACAGAGGACGAAAGAUGGCAAACUACAUAAGCACACUCUGGACCUCUAGUCGCUGAUUUGGUGACUGCUAGGAUGGACAAACAGACAAACAGCUGUUAGAUAAUGUGAACCUGUGAGAGCUACUCCUAAAAGGCAGCGAGUGAGGAGCUGACAGCUGGCUGUCUGGAAGAAAGGACUGAGGUUGGGAAGGGCACACAGAGUUUCCCAGGCAGAGAGGCUGGGAAAGAACAUCUUGAGGCGAACACAAAUAUGGGGACAAGCACAAAGAGCGGAAGCCUUUGGAGACUUCUGGGAAAUACAGAAAUGGUACCUGUAACAGUGCUGUGUGGUAGAAAUAGAAUGUGAGCCACAGAAAUCAUUAUCUAGCAAAAUAAACAGGUGAAAUCAAAUUUAA